rnacentral:rRNA from 1 species
CCUACGGGAGUCAGCAGUGGGGGAUAUUGCACAAUGGGGGGAACCCUGAUGCAGCGACGCCGCGUGGGUGAAGAAGCGCCUCGGCGCGUAAAGCCCUGUCAGCAGGGAAGAAAAUGACGGUACCUGAAGAAGAAGCCCCGGCUAACUACGUGCCAGCAGCCGCGGUAAUACGUAGGGGGCAAGCGUUAUCCGGAUUUACUGGGUGGAAAGGGGGCGCAGACGGCGAUGCAAGCCAGGAGUGAAAGCCCGGGGCCCAACCCCGGGACUGCUCUUGGAACUGCGUGGCUGGAGUGCAGGAGGGGCAGGCGGAAUUCCUGGUGUAGCGGUGAAAUGCGUAGAUAUCAGGAGGAACACCGGUGGCGAAGGCGGCCUGCUGGACUGCAACUGACGUUGAGGCCCGAAAGCGUGGGGAGCAAACAGGAUUAGAUACCCCAGUAGUC